AUUUAGUCUAAUCCAUAACGUUAUCCAGGCUGAUGAUGAUGAUAUAUUACAUCUGACCUGAUAUGAAGUGUGUCCGUUGUGAUUGUCUCACUCCAGUCCUUUAUGUUAAUCGCCAAAGCCAAACCAAACCAAAGUUGUCAACGACUGGCAGUGGCUCAUAUGUGAUACAACUUCAAGUUACUUGUCUUGAUUUUUUUAGUUUUAGCAAACAAAAAUGCAGCAAAACGGCGGUUUCAUGGCUGAAAGUGACAGCGUUGACCUCAAGCUUCCCUUCAGUUAACAUCGUGACGUCACAGCGACGUAGUCCAUGAAAUGGUCUGUGCGUUGAGUUCUCUGAAGAAACAGCGUCGAAAAAGGAACGCUUCAAAUAACGCUGACAACAGCUCGUCAAGGUCUUGAGACUAUCCACAAGCGCAACAUGAAAAUCUUCCCCUGCUCGCUGACUGUAACCAGGAGGUCUGUGUGCUAUCGAAGAGCGCUCGAUGCUGGUGAGGACGCUGCGCCGUGACUCUUCAAUAAGCGCGACGUUGACUUCUUUUGUUUGUGUUUGUUGACAGUGCAAACCGAUUCCCGGCCAUUUUGCACAACGCAGUGGACUCCUUAACUGCUGCAGCUGUGUCCAUGAAAUUCAUACCAGUUAACAGACCUUCAGGGAGGUGAGCCGCCGUCCCCGUCUUCAUGACGGCGCAGCACAAGUGGUUGCGGGGGAAACCUGAGAAACCCGCCCACAAACGCACGCAAACCUUUAACAGAUGCCCACAUGAAAGACGUCCGCUCAGAAUAACGCUAAAAUGAUGUGAAGUUCGUCAGAACAAAACGGGCUCGUGGUAAUUUUUCAGCAGACGUGCACUUCUAUACUCGGAUUCAAUUAAAUCUUUUAACGCAGCGCAAUUUGCGUGCGCGGAGCCAGAAGACUGCCCGUUAUCUCCCUGAAAUGGACUGUGACAGUAAAUAUAAUUCUCACCUGGCUGGUGCGCAUAUGGAACCCAGAAGCUUUAAAAACAGGCUGCCCUAAUUCAGCCGAGUUAAUCUGUCUGAAACGAGAGCUAGAAAGCUGCAGGACAACAUUAAGAGAGGUCCAAGAGGCAAUUUAACCUCUUGAGGUCGUGAACUAUUUCUUAUUUUUAAUGGAAUCUCUUGUAGGAACAGCUGGUCGGGACUGUUAUUGCGUGUUAGUGGACAUCAGACGUUGAACUACGGUGAAGCGACAGACGGGAAGGAGACAGAUUCCUCUUUACUUCACCCCGCUAUUUGCAGGCUGUCUGUUUUGUGUUGACGUGGCAGCAUGAUCGCAAAGGCUAUAAAGUUUGUUGCAGAUGUCGUCUCUCUCCAUCUCUCCUUUUGGUUCCUGCUUGUUUUUUUUCGUCUCUGUAUCCUCCUUUGCUCCUCCUCCUGAACUCAACCAUCAUUUUAUAAUCCUUUUUACUCUGAAAUUCCCCACUAGUGUCUGUGUGUUUUUGUGUGCGCAUGUGUGUGUGUGUGUGUGUGCAUGACUACUAGGCCAGUUGCCUGUGUGAUGUUCAGCCAACUUUUCCAAACACGCUCUCAGAAUACUCCUUUGCGUUCCAUGGUUGUGGAUUCCAGUUGUAAAGUUCCAGAAAUGAGCACAUAAAAUAUAGCCGCGCAUGUCUAACUGAGGCUGGACCUGCCAGACCAGACACGGAUCCAAAACAGCAGGACCCAGACCUGAACGUUCCCUUGAAGGUUUCGCUGAGUGGGAAUUGCCUUCAGAAUUACCCUGACUGGCAGGAACAAUGUGGAGAAAAUUUGACCAGAAGGCAAUAACACCUGAGCAUUUGCUUCCCAGAGAACAACACGUGUUUGUGCCGGCGCGUGUUAGUUCGCUUACGGCGCUGCUGAACUACCGGGUGGGACUUUGUCCUAUUGGAGAAGAAGGUUAGACCUGAGAGUUACGAGCAGCAGCUUUGGAUGGCGGCGCGCACUGUAAAACAUUUUAAGCGGAAUCGGUUUCAAAGUGCUGCUGCUGCUGCCAUGAAAAUGUACCCUACUAGUUUAAAAUCUGGAGUUUUUAGACUUUAGGUGUUACAUUUAAAGCAUCGACAUGCGAUAGCGCCGUGUGAAAAGUCAGAAAUGAAUUUAAAGUGGUUCUGAAUCAGUCUCAGAAUAAAGCAUGUUUUUAACUAUAUAUGUAAAUUUAAAUUAAUGAAAGAAGACAUGAAGAUGUUCAGUACAUUCCCAUCUGAUGUUUUACAGGGAAGCAUUUUCCUGUCAGAGCCGGGUGACCAGGUGUCGUCCCCACCAGAUGUUAAAUGUUUUAACCAAAGUCACCUGUUGUCAGUAUGUGGAGCGGUAAAACUCACCAGACCUGACAGACCUGACAGUCACCCAAAAAGUGCCUGGAGUUCUCAAAUGUUGCUUUCAUGCCGAACGCUGCUGUGUUGAGUUAAGGCUUAAUUCUGUCCAGUUAAGCUCUCUCUGCUUUUUCCUUUGUUUUGACUCAUCCAAUAGCUGUUUCCUGUUGCUGAGUUUUAUUGUUAGAAUUUUGGGACUCUUUAACAUGAGAUGGCAUGUGCUGUUUAUUCCUUGGAACAUAAAAAACAUCAUAAACUGUCUGCGCGAAGCAGACACUCGGCUCAAGUGUGUUUCCUGCAGACCCGCUGUGGUGCGCAGUAUUUAUGAAAUUAAUGUUUUCAGCAGACAACUCCAACAUAACACUGUUUUGCAGAAUGUACUA